AUUAAAACCGGAAAGCAUGGACACCCAGACAGCUUACUGUCAAUGACUGUACUAUUCACUGUCUUCAACAAAAGUCAGCUAUUCCAGGAAACUCUCGUCCAGAAAGAUAAAAAUUGAGAAUGAGACAUCAAUCAAUAUGCGGAAGAUUUACAUGGUUCGGUCUGGAAGGGUGGGACAAUUCGAAGGGUGAGGAGAGAAGAGGAGCUUCCGGGUCAUAGAAUCAACCACUGACCUACCAGAAUCCACCAUGGACCUGGAGUCACCCACAGAUGUGUACCUGGAGAACACCCAGGCUUUCCCAUGGACAUCCUCACAGCAUGUGUCAGGUUCCAUAAAGAACAAUUUGGAAUUGCAUGGCAUUUCUAUGAUACAGACUCAAAAGUCACAAAGUAUCACUUCUGAUAUAAUCUACUGGUCAUGGCAGUAAUGAAGUUCUACCCAAGCUCCAAGGAGGAUGUUUAACUGAAAGCUGAAGAAUACACUCUGACAUUGUGAUAACAGUGGUGUGAUGAGGCUACAGACACUUGACCUUAGGCUGAUGACCAAUGCC
ensembl:lncRNA novel transcript